UCCUGUUAUGAUAUUUCAUAUUUUGUCUAAAUUAUUAAGGGUUGACAUAUCAGUCACUUUUUUGGAUCCAAAUUUGUAUUGCAAUUUUUUGGAUUGGCUUUAGUUAAGUAGGUUUUGUUUUUAAGCUUGAAUCUGCUUAUGUUCAGUAAUACUAAGGCCCCGUUUGGUUUGAGCUUAUUUUAGGCUUAUGAAAAAUAACUUAUGUAAAUAAAUAAGUUUUUAUUUUAAUUUAUAAGCUCUCGCUAACGAAAAUCACAUCUUCAUAACCUGUUUUUCCAUAAAAUAGCUUGAAAACUUAUAAAUAAUACAUAAAAACUUAUUUAUUUGCAUAAGUUAUUUUAUAUAAACUCUAAAAUAAGCUAAUCCAAACGGACCCUAAGUGCCGUAUUGAGUUAAUGUAUUUUCCUAAGCCACCCUAUUAAAAAAUUGUGUAUCCAAUCCCGUGGCGAAGUCCGCGUAAUUUUCCAAAUUCAUAUUAACUCAAUUAUAUUGUUUUGUCAAAAAAUUUGUGGGUAUUUUACAUCUAUUCAAUUUGUUUUUAACUGUAUAUGACCCGUGCGGCAGCACGGGUAGACGAUCUAGUAGUGAUGAUUAGGAAAAGAACUAAGGAGAAUUUAAUGCUUGGAUGAUGGUGGGAAAAUAUUAGGUUAAAAUUAAUUUGUUCAUUUUCUAAUAAAUAAUUAAAUAAAAAAUCAACAUUUGCCUUCAAACUUUGAGACCCAUUUCACCUCUUACCCUCUCGACACCUCCACCGGCAUCUUCCACUUCUCCUCCCCUGCAACCGUCAAACGUAACACCCAUCGUCGAUUGUUCGUCCUUCUCAACGUCCUUUCACGCUUCGUUCAUCUUCCCAAAAUCCUCAUGCAUGUCACCCCAUUGGAUCAUUCGCUUGCUUAGUUUUAUUGCGUCACGCCGAAUCAUCAUUUCCGGUCUCCACUUUGUCAUCUCAACCUUGAUUCUAUCUAUCGACUUUUUUUGUGCCGGCAGGAAGCCGUGGGAAACUUUGGUGCGACAGUGACAACAUAAUCAAGCGGUAGCAUAAAAGAUUGAGUGACUGUUGACCAGAUUUCUCAAAUGCAGAAUUAGAGGGAGAGAAGACGGUGACAAAAGGAGACUAUUCAAUCGUUUAUGUGGGUGUGGAUGCAAUGUUCAUUGGUUUCUAAAGGGAUUUACAUGUAAGUAGUUGGUGUUAACCCCUAUUUUUUAAGUAAUAUAUGGAUUUUGUUUUAUAAAAACUCAUGCUACUGUAUAUCAUUUUGAACAUUUGAUUUGAUGUUUAAAGUAUAAACAUGUAAAGCAAAGAUACCUUCUAUGUUUACAAGGGAGUUUGGGUAUCAAAUUUCUACAUAUGUAACAUUGAGUGAUCCAAACGAAAACGAACAUGAAGUUAUGAUAGAGAAGAGGUAUUUUCCUGUUAUGAUAUUUCAUAUUUUGUCUAAAUUAUUAAGUGUUGACAUAUCAGUCACUUUUUUGGA